CCCGAUCAUCAGCAGAAUCCACCCGUCACUUCACAUCUAUAAACCUGCACGGCAAAAAACAACUACAACAGAAAACUCAAGAGAAAAGCUGCAGUCUUCAACACCUUGAACAGAUGAAGAAACCACAACAAUCAACAUCCAUGACGAGCUGACGUCCAGAGAGGCAACACGGUGGUGCAGUGGUUAGCGCUGUCGUCUCACAACAAAGAAGGUCGCUGGUUCGACUCCUGACUGGGUCAGUCGGCAUUUCUGCGUGGAGUUUGCAUGUUCUCCCCGUGUUGGCGUGGGUUUCCUCCGGGUGCUCCGGUUUCCCCCACAGUCCAAACACAUGCGCUAUAGGGGAAUUGAUCAACUAAACUGGCCGUAGUGUAUGAGUGUGUGUGAAUGCAAUAGUGUGUGGGUGUUUCCCAGUGCUGGGUUACAUCUGGAAGGGCUGCAUAAAACAUAUGCUGAAUAGGUUGGUGGUUCAUUCCACUGUGGCACCCCUGAUUAAUAAAGGGAGUAAGCCGAAAAGAAAAUGAAUGAAUGAAAUUUUAAUUUGCUACAAUAAACAAUGACAACAGUGGUUUGUUCUGUAGACCAUCAUGAAGAUAUCGCUUAAGGGGGCUGAUACUAUUGACCUUAAAAGUGUUUUAAAACAAUCCCAAAACUGCUUUCAGUGUGCUAAAAUAAAAUAAUAAGACUUUCUCCAGAAGAAUAAAACAUGAGAGAAAAUACUGUCAAA